AGGCUUCUGGGGUUCUUUGAGAAGGAGAUUUUCACGUCGUAAGGUUGGAGCAAAAACGAGACUUUCUCAUACACCUUGCUUCCCAUGUGCCUCAAUUGCAUGGUCAAGGAACGAGAGAGAAGCUUAACGGAUGAUCUCGCUUCGGAAACCGCCACCAAGAAGUGUUGAAUCACCGCGUCCUGGUGAAGGGUUUGACUCUGUUUGAAGGGCGUGGGAGAAGAGACGGCGUU
rnacentral:lncRNA from 1 species